AACAAUGCUGUGAUAAAUGACGUGAAUGAGGAUGGAGAUACGAAAGUCUACGAAUAUCUUCCUGUGUCCGACUUUUCUAAAAGAAUCAAGGUGAUGUCAGAGGAUGAAAAUCUGGCAUUCAAAAAAGAGUACAUGAAUUUGCCUAAAGGGGAACUGUUUCCUUGCAGCGAAGCUAAAAAGCCAGAAAAUAUACCAAGAAACCGUUAUAAAACUACUUUUCCAUAUGAUCACUCGAGAGUCAUCCUGCAGUGCAGUUCACCGAAAGAAUCGAACUACAUCAAUGCAAACUACCUGGAGG